AACAAUUUUAAUCGUUCAUUUGUUAUUAAUUCUUUUUAAAUCGUUUCAGUCAUUUACACUACGUUUUGUUUAUUUUAAUGUUAUAUUGUUUUAGGAAAUUUGUAGAAUUCAGGCUUAACCAAACAAAUUAUAAUUGAAGAGCAUUUCAAACAUCUUUGUUCAAUGGUUCACGUGUGGCAACAAUGAGUGGAACAAUAUCACCAGUGUUUCUUAUAUUGCUUUGCCAGUUUGGAUUAUCGAUGCAGGCUUGUCAAGAGUGCAUGUGUUGUAAGGAUCCCUCAUUUGCAUGCGACUCAAAUAAGACGUGUUUAAAAGGAUGCAUAGACGGUUAUUACACGGAGAAAUGCACAAAACAAUGUCUGGAUAACUGUAAAACCUGCGUUAAUGGUAAUGAAUGUACAAACUGUAAAGCUGGUUUUUAUACUAAAAAAUGCACUUUGUCAUGUGGUAAAGGGUGUGUUAAUAACACAUGCAAUAUAUUGUCUGGUGAAUGCGCUUGUUCGGGUAAUAAGUAUGGUGUUAAAUGUAAUGAAACAUGCCCUAGUAACUGUGACACUUGCAUAUCAGCCACAGAAUGUUCAAGGUGUAUAAACACGGUGUAUUUCGGGUCAUAUUGUCAGUAUAGAUGUUCAGUUGGUUGUGUCGAUGGAACAUGUAAUAAAGGAACAGGGCAUUGCAUGAACGGAUGUAAAUCUGGUUAUAUUGGUGAUAAAUGUGACACAUGCUCACAUGGAAUUCAUGGUAAGGAUAACAAUUGUGUUUUAAAUUGCCCGGACAAUUGUUCUGCUUGUGUUUCGGCGACAAACUGUACCGAAUGUAAGACCAACCUUUAUGGUGAAAGAUGUACAAAUACUUGUCCAUCUGGUUGUAAUGGAAAUUGUUCACGUACUGAUGGUCGAUGCUUUGACUGUAAAUUGGGAUUUAUAGGAGAAUUUUGUGACAAAUGUAUAAAUGGAUUAUAUGGGGUUAAUUGUUCUAAAUCAUGUCAUGAAAAAGAGCAACAUUGCCAAGUGUGUUACACAAAUAAAUCAGGUAUUUAUCAGGGUUGUACGAAAUGUGACAGUAAAUAUUACCUAGACAUACCUUUUGGAUAUAACCAUAGUAUAUGUACAGAUUGUCCAAGUACCUGUGCAGACACGGUAUGCGAUAAUACAGGAUUAUGUUCAAAAGGAUGUGUUCGAGGAAAAUGGAGAGAUAAGUGUAAUACUGAUUGCGCAACAAACUGUGAAGUUUGUGACCAACACACUGGGACAUGUUUGGAGUGCAAUCAUAAUGCAUUCUUACAUAAUUGUUCAAAACUCUGUAGCACAAAUUGCACAAAUACCGACAAUGACCGAGUUUGUACACGGGAUACAGGGAAAUGUCUACAUGGAUGUAAAUCAAUGACAAACUUCGGGGAAUAUUGUAAGAAAAAUUGUAGUGAAGUUUGCAACAAUAAAGGCUGCGACUGGAAAACGGGACAUUGCUUAGAAGGAUGUGCAAUGAACUACUAUGGUUCGUUUUGCGGCAAUUAAUGUACCGAAACAUGUCAAUCAAAUGAAAGCAACCGCAUAUGUGAUGAUAUUAUUGGUAAUUGUUUGUAUGGGUGCAAAGAUGGAUUUCAUGGCGAUAAAUGUGACAACAAAUGCAGCAGUCAAUGUGUAAAUGCAACUUGCGACCAGGUUACAGCAAAAUGCUUGCAUGGCUGUAUUGACGGAUACGAAGGACCGAAAUGUGUUCUGGCUAUUCAAGGAGCUGAAUCGGAAAAAAAGAAAUCACUUGUUGUUAUUGCAGCAUCUACCGCUGCUGGUGUUGCUGUUAUAGUAUUGCUGGUGAUCCUAGUAAUUUGUCUUAUAAAACGGAAUCGAAG